rnacentral:rRNA from 1 species
AUUGAACGCUGGCGGCAGGCUUAACACAUGCAAGUCGAACGAGCGGCGGACGGGUGAGUAAUGUCUGGGAAACUGCCUGAUGGAGGGGGAUAACUACUGGAAACGGUAGCUAAUACCGCAUACCAUCGGAUGUGCCCCGCUGGGCUUAGCUAGUAGGUGGGGUAAGGGCUCACCUAGGCGACGAUCCCUAGCUGGUCUGAGAGGAUGACCAGCCAGACUGGAACUGAGACACGGUCCAGACGCCUACGGGAGGCAGCAGUGGGGAAUAUUGGACAAUGGGCGCAAGCCUGAUGCAGCCAUGCCGCGUGUGUGAAGAAGGCCUUCGGGUUGUAAAGCACUUUAAGCGGGGAGGCGUUACUCGCAGAAGAAGCACCGGCUAACUCCGUGCCAGCAGCCGCGGUAAUAC